rnacentral:rRNA from 1 species
UUGAACGCUGGCGGCAUGCCUUACACAUGCAAGUCGAGCGGCAGCGCGGGGGCAACCCUGGCGGCGAGCGGCGAACGGGUGAGUAAUACAUCGGAACGUGUCCAGUAGCGGGGGAUAACCUGUCGAAAGAUAGGCUAAUACCGCAUACGACCUACGGGUGAAAGCGGGGGACCGCAAGGCCUCGCACUAUUGGAGCGGCCGAUGUCGGAUUAGCUAGUUGGCGGGGUAAUGGCCCACCAAGGCGACGAUCCGUAGCUGGUCUGAGAGGACGACCAGCCACACUGGAACUGAGACACGGUCCAGACUCCUACGGGAGGCAGCAGUGGGGAAUUUUGGACAAUGGGCGCAAGCCUGAUCCAGCCAUGCCGCGUGAGUGAAGAAGGCCUUCGGGUUGUAAAGCUCUUUCGGCGGGGACGAAACGGUUCGUGACAACACCACGGACUAAUGACGGUACUCGCAGAAGAAGCACCGGCUAACUACGU